UCUAAUAUGGCAGAAUAGUGCCUUGGAUUUAAACCCCAAUAAUAAAACUUUAAGUUUUUAUUAGAA
rnacentral:tRNA from 1 species